AACAGGUGUGGAGAGGAAGAGAGGAGCAAGCAUAUAUAUAUAUUUGGCAUUCCAGGAAGAUGGAGCUUGCUUUGCUGUGACUAAAGAGAACUUCUAAAGAAGCCUGUGUCCAUAGAUUGUCACGGUAGCUCGCAACCUUUACUUUCUUUACAUGUGCCAAGUAAUUCCAGGGAGUAGACGUGUAUGCAGCUGUAGUCUGGGAGGUCAGAUGUUAGGGAAAAAGAAGGAGGAAAGCAAGAUUAAAAAUUAUUCCUGGAAAUGCAAGAGCAAAUGUGCUGGAGUGGUGCUGUUAGUACCAGGGACACUGGACAAGAAAGAUAAGCAAGCCACUGCUGUCUGAUUCCUACAUAGCUGGUUAAAGUGUUGCAUUCAUAAUUCCCAUUUCAGGAAGACUGAAAACCAGACUUUAUUCUGUUAGAUCCCAAGAUAUCAAGGAAGAGGAAAAGGGAAGAGCCCCCAGGCACUAUUGAACCGCAGCUACAAUCACUGCCGUUUGAAACUUCCCACCAAACAACUUUACUAAUCUGAUUUAAUUUCAACUCCCAGGGAGAGUUAGUAUUAGGACGAAGUACCUACCAUCCAUGAUAAUCCACCAGCUCUGGGGGUUUAGAAGGGAAAGGAUGGAGGUCUCAGUGCUUGAGGC
rnacentral:lncRNA from 1 species